rnacentral:rRNA from 1 species
GAUGAACGCUGGCGGCGUGCCUAAUACAUGCAAGUCGAGCGAACGGACGAGAAGCUUGCUUUUCUGAUGUUAGCGGCGGACGGGUGAGUAACACGUGGAUAACCUACCUAUAAGACUGGGAUAACUUCGGGAAACCGGAGCUAAUACCGGAUAAUAUUUUGAACCGCAUGGUUCAAAAGUGAAAGACGGUCUUGCUGUCACUUAUAGAUGGAUCCGCGCUGCAUUAGCUAGUUGGUAAGGUAACGGCUUACCAAGGCAACGAUGCAUAGCCGACCUGAGAGGGUGGUCGGCCACACUGGAACUGAGACACGGUCCAGACUCCUAAGGGAGGCAGCAGUAGGGAAUCUUCCGCAAUGGGCGAAAGCCUGACGGAGCAACGCCGCGUGAGUGAUGAAGGUCUUCGGAUCGUAAAACUCUGUUAUUAGGGAAGAACAUAUGUGUAAGUAACUGUGCACAUCUUGACGGUACCUAAUCAGAAAGCCACGGCUAACUACGUG